CCCAAUUAGAUCUAUAUACACGGAUCAUCUUCUAAGCCGUUGGAUUAUAAUAAAUCAAAGGCUGAGAUUUAAUCGUUUUUUUUCUCCUCACAGGCUCCCUCUCUCUCUCCAGACAGAUUCAUUCUUCUUCUUUUUUUCUUUUUUUGUUUCUUCUUUUCAUCUUCUCUGCUCUCAUCUUUCCCACCGAUUUUGAAGCCUCGAUUUCGUGUCCACGGCCCUGUUAUCUUCCUCAAGCCUCGAUUUCAUCUCUACCGAUGACGCCGAGAUCUAGUUCCGCCAAUACACAAAGCUGUUCAACUUCCCUCUCAUAGUUUCAUUUUUGGAUUUGUCUCUAAGUUCUUCGCAAAGGCAAGACUUGGAUUUGCCUCAAAACUGACUCGAUUGAUGUUUCUCUUUUGCUGAACUUCUCGAUCUCAACAGCCUGAUGAAAAACCUGGUUAUAAAGUUGGUUCAUUUGUCUUAUACU
rnacentral:lncRNA from 1 species